rnacentral:rRNA from 1 species
UACAGAGGGGGCAAGCGUUGUUCGGAAUUACUGGGCGUAAAGGGCGCGUAGGCGGCCUGCUAAGUCGAACGUGAAAUCCCCGAGCUCAACUCGGGAACUGCGUCCGAUACUGGUUGGCUUGAAUCCGGGAGAGGGAUGUGGAAUUCCAGGUGUAGCGGUGAAAUGCGUAGAUAUCUGGAGGAACACCAAUGGCGAAGGCAGCUCGCUGGGACGGUACUGACGCUGAGGCGCGAAAGCGUGGGGAGCAAACAGG